rnacentral:rRNA from 1 species
GCAAGUCGAGCGGAAACGAGAAUAGCUUGCUAUUCGGCGUCGAGCGGCGGACGGGUGAGUAAUGCUUGGGAAUAUGCCUUAUGGUGGGGGACAACAGUUGGAAACGACUGCUAAUACCGCAUAACGUCUACGGACCAAAGGGGGGGAUCUUCGGACCUCUCGCCAUUUGAUUAGCCCAAGUGAGAUUAGCUAGUUGGUGAGGUAAUGGCUCACCAAGGCGACGAUGGAUAGCCGGCCUGAGAGGGUGAAC